AAUUCUUUGCAGUGCCUCUGCUUCUUUUCCAGCUGCACUGUGCAAAGUAUAGGAUGGGGUCAGGAAAUGCUCUGUGGGGGCCCUUCCACACAGCCAUAUAACCCAGAAUAUCAAGGCAGAAAAUUCCACAAUAUCUGCUUUGAACUGGAUUAUCUGAAUCCACACUGCCAUAUAUUCCAGUUAGAUAGAAGAAAGCAGAUAAUGUGGGAUUUUAUUUAGCGGUGUGGAAGAGGCCCGACUCCCAGGGCUCCAGCAUACUCAAACUCUGUCAAUUUGUCUUCUACUCACUCUGUUCUUACCCUCCCACAAAAUCUUGGGUAAUGUAGUGCAUGGAUAAACCUGACCCAUUUUUUCCUCUUUUCUAGUGUUUCACUGUCCACCUGUGAGACCUACAGAAACAUUUUAAAAUGGCCCUCUUUCCAAGCAUUACCAAAGGCCUGGGCCAGCUUGAAGCCUACAUUGAGGCAGAGGAAGGAGUGGCUUUUCAGAUGGACAAUGACCAGUUCUGGGCCUCGGUCACUGACCAGUACGAAUCAUUCAUUGCGGGGAUAUUUCCAAAGAAGAUGUCCUGCAAGUUCAAGAUCCAUUUACUGUCUUCAGGAAAGGUUAUGCUGGAGGAUUGGGGGGGCAUGUACCUUGCUGUGAAGGAGGUAGAGGAAGAGCCCAAUACCUUUACUGUCAGACCUGUUAUCUACGCAGAAGAUGAAUCCCUCCGGUUUUCUGCCUUUCAUAGUGGCAAUAAGGUAGCCUUUCAGGCCUAUAAUGGCCUCUUCUUGACCAGAGUGUUCAGACAGUUCCAUGUCUUGGAAGCAGUCAAGCUGUUUACAGAUGAGAGCUGCUUGUUCCGGCCCCUGAUCGGAGACCUUUCACCCCCUACCUUGAAAAUGCUGAACAUAAUCCCAAAAGACCUCUCAAAAUUGAAAUUCCACCCCCAGCUUGUGGGGAAAAAUACCUACACCAACUGGGCAAAUGUACCGGUGAAGCACACUUUCACCAUGACCUGGGAAGACCACUGCACUGACAAAAUUAUCUGGGACCGUCUGUGGGGGCUUGGCUUGCCCUGUUUGUGCUCUUUCACUGUCGAGAGAGCAAAGCCCACUGUGGUGUACACCAGGGACAACGACUACCUCCUUUCUGUGGGGAGGGAGAUUUCUGAGAAGGUAACAAAAGAGGUGGAGGUACCGCCCAGAACCAAAGCCGUAGCUCACCUUUUUGUCCAGGUGAAUUUUAAUGCACCUUUGCCUUUCACAGCCGUCAUCCAGAAGACAAAACCUGGUGCACGCGAUGAAACUUUCAAUGAGAAUGGGGCCUGGAUGGGACUUAUUUAUGGGGACCUUUGGGUGGAAUGUUCACUUGAAAAAAUGUUUGGCUUCUGCCCAGUCAUGUGAGGCAAUGGAGAGUGAUGGUAGUGGAGUGGCUUCCCAGUUGGGGACCAAGUUGAUAGUGGUCCAGUCCUGAACUAAUGUGACUGCUAUGCUAGGGCUAUGUGUUGGACUGGCCCAUUUUAGGAUUCAGCUGCUGACUGGUUUUUUUCCAGGUCAAAGCAGGCAAGGGCUAUUCUUGGGAAUGUCUCUGAGACUACAAUACUUCCAUUUUAACCUUUCAGGUGACUGAAAAAAUUGAUGGUUGCCUUUUUAUGUCAAGAGGGAGAGUAGCACAACUGACAGCAUGCAAAUAAAACUUAUUUUAAAAGAAACUCACAUAGAUUCAGUUUGUUUUUUGUAUUGGUGGGAAGCAGAGGGGUGGAGCAUUCCGACUGUUCUAAAUUGCAGGAACUGUGCCAAUUUAUCUUUUAUCCAAUCUUUUCAGUUGUCUUUGAAAUGUCCCAGUUUCUAUCUCAUUCCACUUUUCCCCUUUGUCUUCAGCUUCUUUCAGUUGUUACUAACUUCAGUUGCUGUAAAAAAAAAAAGGUUGCACUUAACUGGGUAAGGAGAGGGCAGAGAGAAAAUAGAGGUUCAUACAAAAGCAAACUGCUGCAGCCUCUCCUAGUUUGUAUUUUCAUCCUCACUAAUAAUAUAUGCCACCUUAUCUACACUCCAGUUUUGCCUAGCGACGUGUGUCCUGUUUCUAUCCAUGAAAUGUUGGAAGGUAUUGCGUAGCCUUCUAUCUUGGGGUCCUUCUACACAGCCAUAUAACCCAGACUAUCAAGGCAGAAAAUCACACAAUAUCUACUUUUAACUGGGUUAUCUGAGUCCACACUGUUAUAUAUUCCAGUUCAAAGCAGAAAAUGUGGGAUUUUAUUCAGCUGUGUGGAAGGGGCCUUGGUUACAGAAGAGACGACUUGAGUGGCAUGAGAUUGGAUAUCCAACCCACCAAGGUUCAAGGGAACACUUGCCAUAUUACCAUGCUAUGCUUAAUGUUAAAACAUGCAGGCCCACAGUUUGGCUUACCCCUUAUUUCCAUCCUUCUUGGCUUAGACAUAAGCUAUGGAAGGAGUGGGUUUCCUGGAGAGAUGCUUCUUCCUGAAGAACCAUUAUGUGUCCCUCUGUUUCACAGGAUUCGCUUUUGGGAUGGCAAGCUAACAGAUGCUCCCCUUCAUGGCAUGAAUCAUAGAAUCGUAGAGUUGGAAGAGACCUCAUGGGCCAUCCAGUCCAACCCCCUGCCAAGAAGCAGGAAAUCACAUUCAAAGCACCCCCGACAUAUGGCCAUCCAGCCUCUGCUUAAAAGCCUCCAAAGAAGGAGCCUCCACCACGGCCCGGGGGAGAGAGUUCCACUGCCGAACAGCCCUCACAGUGAGGAAGUUCUUCCUGAUGUUCAGGUGGCAUCUCCUUUCCUGUAGUUUGAAGCCAUUGUUCUGCGUCCUAGUCUGCAGGGCAGCAGAAAACAAGCUUGCUCCCUCCUCCCUAUGACUUCCCCUCACAUAUUUGUACAUGGCUAUCAUGUUUCCUCUUAGCCUUCUCUUCUGCAGACUAGGAAUAGAAGUGGUGCCCACUGACCAUGGCAUGGGCAUAGAAAAAAGUAUGCACCCACAUUCUGAAAGAUGUAUUACCUUCCUAUUGACUUGGGUUAUUUGCUUAACUGAAAAAAGGGCCGGUAUUGCUUGGAACUUCCUGGGUGCCUGGAUUUGGGGACUGCCAGAAGAAGGAAUGGUGACAUGGAUGGAGCAAGGAGGACAGGUACUUGUAUCAUGCCACAGGCAACUUUUUAAAUUACCAUUCCCACUGGAUCUGACUCAGAAAAAAGUCUACAGUUCUGGAGAGUUGUGCAUAGCAGCCUUCUAGAACAGCAUGAGCACUGCCUUUUUGGAGGGUGGGAAGAAGCACUGAAUAUGCCUUCUUCUACCUAUCUUCUAUAAGGUUGCCGUUUCAGCAUCCUCCCAAGCCCUGAAGCUUCUAAAUCCAAUGUUUGAUGCAUGAAUUACCAAACAUAGUUGCUCACAGAUUGUCAUUUGCACACACAAUUUUUCUAUCCAAAAAUUAAGAGACUCAAGCAUGGUGGCGAUAAAAAGGUGAUGUGGGAGGAAACGAGAGAAAACUAUAUUUAAAAAGCCAUGGAAAACAUGGGACAUCAGAAGAUUAAUUGGGACUUACUGUUUUUGUUCAGUUGCUUCUGACUCUUCGUGACCUUGUGGACCAACCCAUGCCCGAGCUCCCUAUCAGCCAUUAAAACCCCAGCUCCUUCAAGGUCAAGCCAGUCACUUCAAGGAUACCAUCUAUCGAACCUGCCCUUGAGGGAAGAGAGAUGCUAAGAGUGCAUCAUCUGUAGAUUCUCCAGGAACAGAAACAGAUCUGUAGGUGAAUAGUGCUGGAGGAGGUUCAUAGGGCCCCUCCACACAACCAUGUAGCCCAGAAUAUCAAGGCAAGAAAUCUCACAAUAUCUGCUUUGGACUGGGUUAUCUGAGUGCACACAGCCAUAUAUUCCAGUUCAAAGCAGAAAAUGUGGGAAUUUAUUCAGCUAUGUGUAAGAGGCCAUGGUCAAGGGCACAGAAAAAAAAACCAUGCUCUAGACCAGCACUUCUUAAACUUUUUUCCACUCGUGACCCUUUUCUGCCCCAUUUUUAAUGUAAUCCCUAGUAUAUAGGUAUAUAAAAUAGGUGUUAAAUCAAACAUUUACUGAUAAUAAACCAGCAUUUGUGAUGCUUGCUAAACAGACUGGUUUCCCCUUUUUGUGAAAUAAAGCUGAAACAUUUUCUGCAGACUCCCACACUGCACAGUUGUUGCUAACAGAAUCAUGUGGUGUCAGAAACAACCACUAGGUGGUGUUGAGAAACCUUUUACUAUUGCCAGCAUUUUUGCAACCCCAACAUUGGUAGUCGGAAUCCACAGUUUAAGAGGCAUUGCUUUGAUUAACACAAUGUCAUCACAUCACAAUCAUACAUAAUAAUGUAAGAAAAAGGCACAUCAAAUAUGGAAUCACUCGCUCUCAGGUACGGUCUGGAAAGGAGGAAUUGAAUAUGUGCUGGUAGGAGGGGUCAAGGGGAAGAUUUCCUGGACUGCCUGAUAAAUAAUUUGGUGGUGUUCCAUUAUCUGGGUGGAUACUACAAGGGGGCACUAGAUGGAGAAGGAAAGUCCAUUUUAGGGGGGGGGGGCGUGAAGGAGUUCAACCAUUUCACCCUGUUUUCACCCAUGUCACCACUGUUGAAACAACCAUAGUUUAUGAUAUGGGAAGAAGGGAGGGAAUAACCAGUGAAAAUGGUAAAAAUUGUUUUCCUCCUUCAACUCACCCCCCCCCCCCCACACACACACACUAAAAUGGACUAUCCUUCUCUGACUAGACCCACUUUUGGAGUCCACCCGGAUAAUGGAACAGUAUCAAUAAUUCUAGUAAAUAAGGAAUUUUAAUAAUUUCUGUCAAGUUGAGUUUAAUUUAUGGUGACCCUAUGAAUGAGAGACCGCCAAGUUAGUCAUAAACAGCCAUGCUCUGCUCUUGUAGACUCAGGACUGUGGCUUCCUCAGUUGAGUCUAUCCAUCUGGAAUUUCCUACCACCACCUUACCAGGCAUCCUUGUCUUUUCUAAAGAGCCAUGUCUCCUCAUUAUAUGGCCAAAGCAUGACAAUCAUCUUAGCUUCUGGGGGAAGUUCAGACUUGACUUCCUCUAGGAACCAUUUAUUUGUCUUUGGAUGAAUCCAUAAUAUUAUAGAAUCUUUUCUCCAGCACCACAUUUCAAAUUAAUUGAAGCUCAUCUUCUUAGUUUUCUUCAUUGUCCUACUCUCACAGGCAGACAUAGUAAAGGUUUUCCCCUGACAUUAAGUCUAGUUGUGUCCGACUCUGGGGAUUGGUGCUCAUCUCCAUUUCUAAGCCAAAGAGCCGACACUACCUAUAGAUACCUCCAAGGUCAUGUGGCUGGCAUGACUGCAUGGGAGUGUCAUUACCUUCCCGCCGGAGCGGUACCUAUUGAUCUACUCACAUUUGCAUGUUUUUGAACUGCUAGGUUGGCAGAAGCUGGGGAUAGCAGUGGGAGCUCACCCCGCUCCUCAGAUUCGAACCAACCUUUCAGUCAGCAAGUUCAACAGCUCGGCGGUUUAAUCCGCUGUGCCACCGGUGGCUCAUAGAAACGGGAAAUAUGAUGGCAUGGACCAUCCUUUUAGUAUUCAAUGAUCUA
rnacentral:lncRNA from 1 species